rnacentral:rRNA from 1 species
AGUGAACGCUGGCGGUAGGCCUAACACAUGCAAGUCGAACGGCAGCACCGUAAGAGCUUGCUCUUACGGGUGGCGAGUGGCGGACGGGUGAGGAAUACAUCGGAAUCUACUUUUUCGUGGGGGAUAACGUAGGGAAACUUACGCUAAUACCGCAUACGACCUACGGGUGAAAGCAGUGGAUCUUCGGACCUUGCGCGAUUGAAUUAGCCGAUGUCGGAUUAGCUAGUUGGCGGGGUAAAGGCCCACCAAGGCGACGAUCCGUAGCUGGUCUGAGAGGAUGAUCAGCCACACUGGAACUGAGACACGGUCCAGACUCCUACGGGAGGCAGCAGUGGGGAAUAUUGGACAAUGGGCGCAAGCCUGAUCCAGCCAUACCGCGUGGGUGAAGAAGGCCUUCGGGUUGUAAAGCCCUUUUGUUGGGAAAGAAAAGCAGCAGGUUAAUACCCCGCUGUUCUGACGGUACCCAAAGAAUAAGCACCGGCUAACUUCGUG